UGUCUUGUUAAAUGAAUGAUGGUGACCUAAACCCUUCCCAGAGUAUCAAUUGGAGGGCAAGUCUGGUGCCAGCAGCCGCGGUAAUUCCAGCUCCAAUAGCGUAUAUUAAAGUUGUUGCAGUUAAGAAGCUCGUAGUUGAAUUUCUGCCUUGUCGUUAAAUUCGCUUCCGAGCGUUUUUUUAUUGACUUGGCAUCUUCUGGAUUUGGUUCCCUUCGGGGUUCUAUUUUCCGGGAUUUACUUUGAGAAAACUAGAGUGUUUCAAACAGGCAUUUGCCUUGAAUACUACAGCAUGGAAUAAUGAAGUAGGACUUUGGUUCUAUUUUGUUGGUUAUUGAGCCAGAGUAAUGGUUAAUAGGAGCAGUUGGGGGCAUUCGUAUUUAACUGUCAGAGGUGAAAUUCUUAGAUUUGUUAAAGACGAACUACUGCGAAAGCAUUUGCCAAGGAUGUUUUCAUUAAUCAAGAACGAAAGUAGGGAUCGAGACGUCAGUCGC
rnacentral:rRNA from 1 species